UAAGUGGUAUCCCUGCGUAUAAAAAUCAAAAAGCCUGUGAGAACAAGAAAAGAAUAGCUUCCCCUCAAGCUGAAAUCUAAACUCAAACUCUGAGCUGUAGGAAAGAAAAGGUAGCUUAGUAUCCUGACUGUGUAGUUUAUGAGAAGGAUCAUGUCAUGACUCUGGUUGACAGUAAUAGGCAAUUCACACACACACGCAUGAUUAUCAUUGAUAGUUGACAUACAAGAGUUAUGCCAAUCUUUGAAAAACAAUACAAGGCUUGUAGCUUGAAUCUUAGAAUGUGUUGGUACUUGUGACGUUGUAGCAUGCUAGUUUGUGUUUUAAAUUUUUAGUUUAAGUCUUUAAUCCCAAGUUUUGCUC
rnacentral:lncRNA from 1 species